rnacentral:lncRNA from 1 species
GACUCACAGGUUGUGCCAAGCCAAAAAUUCUGCGUGCCAAACUGCUCAUUGUGCCAUGAGCUGACUCAUGGGUCGACUCAUGGAUUUCAAACAUGCAUAACUUCCAAAAUAUAAGUCCAAAAAUAAUGAAAUUUUCGCCAAUAGAUCACAAAUCUUUUGUUCUAUCAUUUAAUACUUUCAAUUCAGGGUUUUGGUAAGAUUACAAUUUUGCCC